GAGCGAGAAAGGGACUUCGGUCCUGAGUAAAGCGGCGGACGGGUGAGUAACACGUAGGUAAUCUUCCAUUAAGUGGGGGACAACGUUCCGAAAGGGACGCUAAUACCGCAUAAGUUCCCAGAGACUCCGGUCUUUGGGAGGAAAGCUAGGUAGCAAUAUCUGGCGCUUGAUGAGGAGCCUGCGUCGCAUCAGCUAGUUGGUGGGGUAACGGCCUACCAAGGCGAAGACGCGUAGCUGGUCUGAGAGGAUGAUCAGCCACACUGGGACUGAGACACGGCCCAGACUCCUACGGGAGGCAGCAGUGGGGAAUAUUGGACAAUGGGCGCAAGCCUGAUCCAGCCACGCCGCGUGAGUGAUGAAGGCCUUCGGGUCGUAAAGCUCUGUGGGGAGGGACGAACC
rnacentral:rRNA from 1 species